CGGAGGAUCCAAGCGUUAUCCGGAUUUAUUGGGUUUAAAGGGUGCGUAGGCGGCCUAUUAAGUCAGGGGUGAAAGACGGUAGCUCAACUAUCGCAGUGCCUUUGAUACUGAUGGGCUUGAAUGAACUAGAGGUAGGCGGAAUGAGACAAGUAGCGGUGAAAUGCAUAGAUAUGUCUCAGAACACCGAUUGCGAAGGCAGCUUACUAUGGUUUAAUGACGCUGAGGCACGAAAGCGUGGGAUCAAACAGGAUU
rnacentral:rRNA from 1 species